GGGGAUGUAGCUCAUAUGGUAGAGCGUAUGGUUUGCAUAAACAGCAACGAUAAUCAGAGUUCCAUAAGGUAAAGGGAUCGAUACCCUUCUUCUCCA
rfam:Dictyostelium discoideum AX4 chromosome 2, whole genome shotgun sequence.